UUCAUCGCUCGCGAUGUUUAACUGACAUGAUUGUGGGACGUCCUACCGGUGGGCUUAGCUUUGUUAGUGUAACAGCUUUCAAGGCGGCCCAGCUAAUAUCCCAUCGCGGUGCUCUUCAUCGAGUGUCGAGGUGGGCCGGUACGUUUACUUUGAACAAAUUAGAGUGCUCAAAGCAGGCUAUUUUCGCCUGAAUACUGCGUGCAUGGAAUAAUGGAAUAGGACCUCGGUUCUAU
rnacentral:rRNA from 1 species